UACGGAGGUGGCAAGCGUUGCUCGGAAUCACUGGGCGUAAAGCGCACGUAGGCGGCUUACUAAGUCAGGGGUGAAAUCCUGGAGCUCAACUCCAGAACUGCCUUUGAUACUGGUGAGCUUGAGUCCGGAAGAGGUGAGUGGAACUGCGAGUGUAGAGGUGAAAUUCGUAGAUAUUCGCAAGAACACCAGUGGCGAAGGCGGCUCACUGGUCCGGUACUGACGCUGAGGUGCGAAAGCGUGGGGAGCGAACAGG
rnacentral:rRNA from 1 species